rnacentral:rRNA from 1 species
AGCGUACACGGUGGAUGCCCUGGCAGUCAGAGGCGAUGAAGGACGUGCUAAUCUGCGAAAAGCGUCGGUAAGGUGAUAUGAACCGUUACAGCCGGCGAUGUCCGAAUGGGGAAACCCAGUGCAAUUCGUUGCACUAUCGUUAACUGAAUACAUAGGUUAACGAGGCGAACCGGGGGAACUGAAACAUCUAAGUACCCCGAGGAAAAGAAAUCAACCGAGAUUCCCCCAGUAGCGGCGAGCGAACGGGGAGCAGCCCGGAGUCUGAAUCAGCUUGUGUGUUAGUGGAAGCGUCUGGAAAGUCGCAGGGUACAGGGUGAUACUCCCGUACACUAAAACACACAGGCUGUGAACUCGAAGAGUAGGGCGGGACACGUGGUAUCCUGUCUGAAUAUGGGGGGACCAUCCUCCAAGGCUAAAUACUCCUGACUGACCGAUAGUGAACCAGUACCGUGAGGGAAAGGCGAAAAGAACCCCGGCGAGGGGAGUGAAAAAGAACCUGAAACCGUGUACGUACAAGCAGUAGGAGCCCACUAGUUGGGUGACUGCGUACCUUUUGUAUAAUGGGUCAGCGACUUAUAUUCUGUAGCAAGGUUAACCGUAUAGGGGAGCCGCAGGGAAACCGAGUCUUAACUGGGCGUUAAGUUGCAGGGUAUAGACCCGAAACCCGGUGAUCUAGCCAUGGGCAGGUUGAAGGUUGGGUAACACUAACUGGAGGACCGAACCGACUAAUGUUGAAAAAUUAGCGGAUGACUUGUGGCUGGGGGUGAAAGGCCAAUCAAACCGGGAGAUAGCUGGUUCUCCCCGAAAGCUAUUUAGGUAGCGCCUCGUGAAUUCAUCUUCGGGGGUAGAGCACUGUUUCGGCUAGGGGGUCAUCCCGACUUACCAACCCGAUGCAAACUACGAAUACCGAAGAAUGUUAUCACGGGAGACACACGGCGGGUGCUAACGUCCGUCGUGAAGAGGGAAACAACCCAGACCGCCAGCUAAGGUCCCAAAGUCAUGGUUAAGUGGGAAACGAUGUGGGAAGGCCCAGACAGCCAGGAUGUUGGCUUAGAAGCAGCCAUCAUUUAAAGAAAGCGUAAUAGCUCACUGGUCGAGUCGGCCUGCGCGGAAGAUGUAACGGGGCUAAACCAUGCACCGAAGCUGCGGCAGCGACACUAUGUGUUGUUGGGUAGGGGAGCGUUCUGUAAGCCGUUGAAGGUGGCCUGUGAGGGUUGCUGGAGGUAUCAGAAGUGCGAAUGCUGACAUAAGUAACGAUAAUGCGGGUGAAAAACCCGCACGCCGGAAGACCAAGGGUUCCUGUCCAACGUUAAUCGGGGCAGGGUGAGUCGACCCCUAAGGCGAGGCCGAAAGGCGUAGUCGAUGGGAAACAGGUUAAUAUUCCUGUACUUGGUGUUACUGCGAAGGGGGGACGGAGAAGGCUAUGUUGGCCGGGCGACGGUUGUCCCGGUUUAAGCAUGUAGGCGGAUGUUCCAGGUAAAUCCGGAACGUCACUAACGCUGAGGUGUGAUGACGAGGCACUACGGUGCUGAAGUGACAAAUGCCCUGCUUCCAGGAAAAGCCUCUAAGCAUCAGGUAACAUCAAAUCGUACCCCAAACCGACACAGGUGGUCAGGUAGAGAAUACCAAGGCGCUUGAGAGAACUCGGGUGAAGGAACUAGGCAAAAUGGUGCCGUAACUUCGGGAGAAGGCACGCUGAUGGUANGUGAAGUGACUUGCUCAUGGAGCUGAAAUCAGUCGAAGAUACCAGCUGGCUGCAACUGUUUAUUAAAAACACAGCACUGUGCAAACACGAAAGUGGACGUAUACGGUGUGACGCCUGCCCGGUGCCGGAAGGUUAAUUGAUGGGGUUAUCCUCACGGAGAAGCUCUUGAUCGAAGCCCCGGUAAACGGCGGCCGUAACUAUAACGGUCCUAAGGUAGCGAAAUUCCUUGUCGGGUAAGUUCCGACCUGCACGAAUGGCGUAAUGAUGGCCAGGCUGUCUCCACCCGAGACUCAGUGAAAUUGAACUCGCUGUGAAGAUGCAGUGUACCCGCGGCAAGACGGAAAGACCCCGUGAACCUUUACUAUAGCUUGACACUGAACACUGGUCCUUGAUGUGUAGGAUAGGUGGGAGGCUUUGAAGUGUGGACGCCAGUCUGCAUGGAGCCGUCCUUGAAAUACCACCCUUUAAUGGCUGGUGUUCUAACGUGGGCCCGUAAUCCGGGUUGCGGACAGUGUCUGGUGGGUAGUUUGACUGGGGCGGUCUCCUCCUAAAGAGUAACGGAGGAGCACGAAGGUCAGCUAAUCCUGGUCGGACAUCAGGAGGUUAGUGCAAUGGCAUAAGCUGGCUUGACUGCGAGCGUGACGGCGCGAGCAGGUGCGAAAGCAGGUCAUAGUGAUCCGGUGGUUCUGAAUGGAAGGGCCAUCGCUCAACGGAUAAAAGGUACUCCGGGGAUAACAGGCUGAUACCGCCCAAGAGUUCAUAUCGACGGCGGUGUUUGGCACCUCGAUGUCGGCUCAUCACAUCCUGGGGCUGAAGUAGGUCCCAAGGGUAUGGCUGUUCGCCAUUUAAAGUGGUACGCGAGCUGGGUUUAGAACGUCGUGAGACAGUUCGGUCCCUAUCUGCCGUGGGCGCUGGAGAAUUGAGGGGGGCUGCUCCUAGUACGAGAGGACCGGAGUGGACGCAUCACUGGUGUUCGGGUUGUCAUGCCAAUGGCAUUGCCCGGUAGCUAAAUGCGGAAGAGAUAAGUGCUGAAAGCAUCUAAGCACGAAACUUGCCCCGAGAUGAGUUCUCCCUGACUCCUUGA